rnacentral:RNase_P_RNA from 1 species
GGCGGAGGGAAGCUCAUCAGCGGGGCCACGCGCUGAGUGCCAGUCACUCCCCGGCCCCUGGGAAGGUCUGAGACUAGGGCCACGCGCGGCCCUAGCGGGGCCCUCCCCAAGUGGGGAGGUGAGUUCCCAGAGAGCAGGGCUCCGCGCGGGGGCCGACCGGGCAGGAGAGGCCGCGCUAGGCCGGCGGAUGCCCCCCCCGCCGGAGCUUGGAACAGACUCACGGCCAGCCGGCGAGUUCAAUGGCUGAGGUGAGGCACGCCGGCCUCAUAACCCAAUUCAGACUACUCUCCCACGCC